rnacentral:rRNA from 1 species
AUUGAACGCUGGCGGCAUGCCUUACACAUGCAAGUCGAACGGCAGCACGGGUGCUUGCACCUGGUGGCGAGUGGCGAACGGGUGAGUAAUACAUCGGAACGUACCUUAUCGUGGGGGAUAACGCAGCGAAAGCUGUGCUAAUACCGCAUACGCCCGGAGGGGGAAAGCGGGGGAUCGCAAGACCUCGCGCGAUUAGAGCGGCCGAUGCCUGAUUAGCUAGUUGGUGGGGUAAAAGCCCACCAAGGCGACGAUCAGUAGCUGGUCUGAGAGGACGAUCAGCCACACUGGGACUGAGACACGGCCCAGACACCUACGGGAGGCAGCAGUGGGGAAUUUUGGACAAUGGGGGCAACCCUGAUCCAGCAAUGCCGCGUGAGUGAAGAAGGCCUUCGGGUUGUAAAGCUCUUUUGUCAGGGAAGAAACACCGGCUCUAACACAGUCCGGGAAUGACGGUACCUGAAGAAUAAGCACCGGCUAACUACGUGCCAGCCGCCGCCGUAA